AAAGACUUAGUCCUAACCUUACUGUUGGUUUUUGCUAGGUAUAUACAUGCAAGUAUCUGCGCUCCAGUGUAAACGCCCUAAACACCUUAUCACUAAGCCAAUAGGAGCGGGUAUCAGGCUCACCACCACCGUAGCCCAAGACGCCUCGCAUUUGCCACACCCCCACGGGUACUCAGCAGUAGUUAAUAUUAAGCAAUGAGUGUAAACUUGACUUAGCCACAGCAAAUCAGGGUCGGUAAAUCCUGUGCCAGCCACCGCGGUCAUACAGGAGACCCAAAUCAACUUUACUACGAACGGCGUAAAGAGUGGUCACAUGUUAUCCAAGUAACUAAGAUUAAAAAGCAACUGAGCUGUCAUAAGCCCAAGAUGCCCAUAAGGCCUCCCACCCAAAGAAGAUCUUAGACUAACGAUUAAUUGAACUCCACGAAAGCCAGGGCCCAAACUAGGAUUAGAUACCCUACUAUGCCUGGCCCUAAAUCUUGAUGCCUACCCCUACUUAGGCAUCCGCCCGAGAACUACGAGCACUAACGCUUAAAACUCUAAGGACUUGGCGGUGUCCCAAACCCACCUAGAGGAGCCUGUUCUAUAAUCGAUGAUCCACGAUACUACCUGACCAUUCCUUGCCAAAGCAGCCUAUAUACCGCCGUCGCCAGCCCACCUACCCUGAAAGCUCAACAGUGGGCGCAAUAGUCCAACAACACUAAUAAGACAGGUCAAGGUAUAGCCUAUGGAAUGGAAGCAAUGGGCUACAUUUUCUAAUAUAGAACAUAACGGCAAAGAGACAUGAAACUGUCUCUCGAAGGAGGAUUUAGCAGUAAAGUGGGACAAUCGAGCCCUCUUUAAGCCGGCUCUGGGACACGUACACACCGCCCGUCACCCUCCUCGCAGGCGACCCCCACCCCCCAUACACUAAUAAGCCACUAAGCUAAAGAUGAGGUAAGUCGUAACAAGGUAAGUGUACCGGAAGGUGCA
rnacentral:ncRNA from 1 species